rnacentral:rRNA from 1 species
CCCUGGCUCAGAUUGAACGCUGGCGGCAGGCCUAACACAUGCAAGUCGAGCGGAUGAAGAGAGCUUGCUCUCUGAUUCAGCGGCGGACGGGUGAGUAAUGCCUAGGAAUCUGCCUGGUAGUGGGGGACAACGUUUCGAAAGGAACGCUAAUACCGCAUACGUCCUACGGGAGAAAGCAGGGGACCUUCGGGCCUUGCGCUAUCAGAUGAGCCUAGGUCGGAUUAGCUAGUUGGUGAGGUAAUGGCUCACCAAGGCGACGAUCCGUAACUGGUCUGAGAGGAUGAUCAGUCACACUGGAACUGAGACACGGUCCAGACUCCUACGGGAGGCAGCAGUGGGGAAUAUUGGACAAUGGGCGAAAGCCUGAUCCAGCCAUGCCGCGUGUGUGAAGAAGGUCUUCGGAUUGUAAAGCACUUUAAGUUGGGAGGAAGGGCAUUAACCUAAUACGUUAGUGUUUUGACGUUACCGACAGAAUAAGCACCGGCUAACU